rnacentral:tmRNA from 1 species
CCGCAGACGGGACACAGAGCCUGCUUCAAAAAUUCUUUCGGACCCCGAUAGAGGGACCUGAAUUUACUCGCUUGUGUCUAGAGGACCGUGGCAGUUUAUCUGAAAAUGGCGACCCAAACCAUGGACGUGGAGCCUGUUCAGACCGUGAACGCAAUUGAUGCCGCCAUCGCCGAGCUGAAGCUGAUGGCCGGCCACAGCCAUGAAGCUAAUGUGCUGGCUGGCAGGCUGCUUCAUUUUAAGAUGAGAGAAGUUUGUACCCAGACUGUGGCUCAGUUUCUGGAUGCCUUUUCCAGCGUGUUGGAUGAAGGGCUGUGUGCCUUUAUUGGAAACUACAGCCAGAGUUUGGAUGAGAUGGUUCAGCGGUAUGUGUCUGGGGGCUUUGCGGCUGUGAAGGAAAAUGGUUAUCUGGCAGCUGCUAGGUUUUAUGACACCUAUGUGCUUAGAAAUGAUGUCAAGUAUGAGAGUGUCCCCCACAUGUUUAUGCGCAUUUCGGCAUUUUGUGCUUAUCACUGCAUACAGAAUGAGUGUCUCUUCAAGACCUUGAAGCAUAUGGAGCUAGACAGGGGGAAUGUUGUGGAGAAUGCCAUGGAUUUGAUUACUUAUUUCUUUGAGAUGAUUGCUUCUCAGCAGGUGUGCUGUGCCACGCCCGUGAUGAGAUCCGCUGGUUUGAGGGAUGCUAAUUUAAGUAGUUGUUUCAUCUUUGCCCCCGCCCUGGACUCUGAGGAAAAAACUGUGGAUGCAGUGUUUUCUGAGUUAACAAAGCUGUUGGCGUGUAAGUCGGGAGUGGGUAUGGAUCUGUCCACCUACUCUCAUGGAAAGAACCUGCAUGCUGUCCUGAAGGCCCUUGAUGGACAGAUCACUUACUUUAAUGAUCACAAUAUUAGGCCCGUCAGCGUGGCUGCCUAUAUGGAGAUUUGGCAUACCAACAUCAUGGACUUUCUGACUGCGAAGCUUCCAGAGAACCCAGAACGAUGUGGCAACUUAUUUCAAGGAGUGUGCAUACCAGAGAUUUUCUUCAGAACCUACAAAAAUGAUCCAGAGUCCAAUUGGUACCUGUUUGAUCCCAAGAAGGCCGAAGUCCUAACAAACACCUAUGGGUAUAUGUUUAGUAUAGCCUACGCAGGAUUAGUGGAGCAGGGGGCAUAUGAAGCAGUGGUUCCCAUUAAGAGCGUGAUGUUCGCUCUUGUUUCCUGCAUAAUAAAGACUGGGGGGCCUUAUAUUUUGAACAAGAAAGCUAUAAACAGACAUGACUGGCAUGAAUGGUCCACACAUCAGUAUAGGGCCAUUAAUUGUGCAAAUCUUUGUGCAGAGGUGAUACAGUAUCCAGGAGAGAACGUGUCCACCUGUAACCUGGCCAAUAUCUGUCUGCCAAAGUGUUUGGAGGAUGACAAAUUUGUCUCUGGAAAGAGUUGUCUACUCACGUACGAGCGUGAGUUUUCCAUUGAGAGGCUGGAGAGGGCCACAGAGGCUGCAGUGUUUAUCAUCAAUGCCUGCAUCCAUGGUGGCACUUUACCUACACAGAGGGCCAGGCGGGGGCAGAGUGACAGGUCUAUGGGUAUUGGAGUACAAGGAUUAGCAGAUACCUUUGCUAUGAUGGGGUUGGGAUAUUUUGAUGCAGGGAGUGAGAUACUUGAUCAGAAGAUAGCAGAGACCCUGUAUUUCAAUGCACUCAAUACCAGUAUCAACUUUGUGAAGAUAGGCAAGGGGGAACCCUAUGCUAACUAUGAGCAGAGUAAGCAUUCCAUUGGGGUGCUCCAUUGGCAUGACUGGGACAUGUGUAGCCCCAUGGUCUAUACAAGAGAUGAGUGGGAAGAUUUGGCAAGGUCCUGCGAGGUACAUGGUGUAUACAAUUCACAAUUUGUGGCCUAUAUGCCUACUGCUGGCACUGGGCAAAUCACAGGUUACUCAGACUCCUUCUAUCCAUUUUAUUCAUCCAUGUCAUCCAAGGUGUCAAAUAAAGAAGAAAUCUUGCGACCCAACAUGACCCUCAUGAGCAGAAUGUCAGAUAGUGAGGUCCAGACCCUUAGGGAGUGUAACUGGGAUAUUGCCAAACUUCCAGAGCCCCUGCUGCAGAAAUAUAGAAUUUUCCUGUCAGCCUUUGAUUAUGAACCCAGCCUGUAUGUACGCAGAGCUAUGCUUAGGGCACCAUUCAUUGAUCAGAGCCAGUCUAUGACCUUGUUUUUGAAUGAAGAUUAUGCAAGCAGUGCUUCAAAUAUAAAGAAUUUGUUGAUGUAUGGGUGGGAGUGUGGGUUGAAAACCUUGAUGUACUACUGCAGAAUACGUAAAACAGCAACCUCUAACGAAUUUGAAUGUGUCAGAAGGAAUUCACAACAGAAAUAUGUAAACUGUGCUGAUGGGGAAGGUGCUGGGGGGGAGGAGCCUUCUGAAAAUUGUAUAAAGGCUGAGGGUGCGACGUGUUCACUAUCUGUGGGUGCUUCUUGUCUGCACUGUCAAUAACUGAUUGCUCUCAAUAAAAUCAGUAAAAUUUA